CCCUUAGAUGUUCUGGGCCGCACGCGCGCUACACUGAUGCAUUCAACGAGUCUAAAACCUGCUCUGAUAGGGGUGGGUAAUCUUUUGAAAGUGCAUCGUGAUUGGGAUAGAUGAUUGCAAUUCUUCAUCUUCAACGAGGAAUGCCUAGUAAACGCAAGUCAUCAGCUUGCAUUGUUUACGUCCCUGCCCUUUGUACACACCGCCCGUCGCUCCUACCGAUUGAAUGAUCCGAUGAAUACCAUGGAUUGAGAGUACGAAUAGGUUCGCUUAUUUCUGCUGCUCGAGAAGUGGAGUAAAUCUUAUCAUUUAGAGGAAGGAGAAGUCGUAACA
rnacentral:rRNA from 1 species